UGAGUAACCUGCCCUUAACUCUGGGAUAAGCCUGGGAAACUGGGUCUAAUACCGGAUAUGACUCCUCAUCGCAUGGUGGGGGGUGGAAAGCUUUUUUGUGGUUUUUGGAUGGACUCGCGGCCUAUCGNUNUUGUGNGAGUAG
rnacentral:rRNA from 1 species